rnacentral:snoRNA from 1 species
UGCCUUUGUGUUACCCAUUCGUUGCUUUCUACAAUGAAUGUGGCGUCAAAAAAGGCAAACAGUAAUUCUUGGAUCGGCCUUAGCGAGGUACCCCUACGGUGACCUCGUCCUAAGUUCUAUACCAAGUACAAAA